UACGGAGGGGGCUAGCGUUGUUCGGAAUUACUGGGCGUAAAGCGCACGUAGGCGGCUUUGUAAGUUAGAGGUGAAAGCCCGGGGCUCAACUCCGGAAUUGCCUUUAAGACUGCAUCGCUAGAAUUGUGGAGAGGUAAGUGGAAAUUCCGAGUGUAGAGGUGAAAUUCGUAGAUAUUCGGAAGAACACCAGUGGCGAAGGCGACUCGCUGGACAAGUAUUGACGCU
rnacentral:rRNA from 1 species